AAAGUCGUAACAAGGUUUCCGUAGGUGAACCUGCGGAAGGAUCAUUAAAGAAAUUUAAUAAUUUUGAAAAUGGAUUUUUUUGUUUUGGCAAGAGCAUGAGAGCUUUUACUGGGCAAGAAGACAAGAGAUGGAGAGUCUAGCCGGGCCUGCGCUUAAGUGCGCGGUCUUGCUAGGCUUGUAAGUUUCUUUCUUGCUAUUCCAAACGGUGAGAGAUUUCUGUGCUUUUGUUAUAGGACAAUUAAAACCGUUUCAAUACAACACACUGUGGAGUUUUCAUAUCUUUGCAACUUUUUCUUUGGGCAUUCGAGCAAUCGGGGCCCAGAGGUAACAAACACAAACAAUUUUAUCUAUUCAUUAAAUUUUUGUCAAAAACAAGAAUUUUCGUAACUGGAAAUUUUAAAAUAUUAAAAACUUUCAACAACGGAUCUCUUGGUUCUCGCAUCGAUGAAGAACGCAGCGAAAUGCGAUACGUAAUGUGAAUUGCAGAAUUCCGUGAAUCAUCGAAUCUUUGAACGCACAUUGCGCCCCUUGGUAUUCCAGGGGGCAUGCCUGUUUGAGCGUCAUUUCCUUCUCAAACAUUCUGUUUGGUAGUGAGUGAUACUCUUUGGAGUUAACUUGAAAUUGCUGGCCUUUUCAUUGGAUGUUUUUUUUCCAAAGAGAGGUUUCUCUGCGUGCUUGAGGUAUAAUGCAAGUACGGUCGUUUUAGGUUUUACCAACUGCGGCUAAUCUUUUUUUAUACUGAGCGUAUUGGAACGUUAUCGAUAAGAAGAGAGCGUCUAGGCGAACAAUGUUCUUAAAGUUUGACCUCAAAUCAGGUAGGAGUACCCGCUGAACUAAGCAUAUCAAUA
rnacentral:rRNA from 1 species